GUUUGGCGUUGAAGUGUUGCAGAGCAGCAUGAGAUGAAGUAGUUUGCUCAAGAACCAACGCAUAACCCGGUCUAGGAAUUGAAACCACGAUCUCUCGAUCAUGAGUGCAACACCCUAACCACUUAUCCAU